UUAAGUUAACCACAUAAAAUAUGUUUAGUUUCUUUAGUUAUAUGCAGUCACCUCAAUAAGCUGUAAAAUCCUAGACAUUAAAGAUGAGGCAUAUACUUAAAGUAGACGAUAUAUUUUAUGUGGUUAACUUAACU
rfam:Solanum tuberosum cultivar DM 1-3 516 R44 scf00201_17, whole genome shotgun sequence.